rnacentral:lncRNA from 1 species
GGUGAUGAUUCAAAAUUUCAUUUUUGAGUUAUUGAGUAUUUUGUAAAAAAGGGGGAGGUUUUUUUUACAUGUCGUGCCGUAUCUCAAAAACCAUUUAUGAUUAUUGCUUAAAACUUUACACACUUCUUUGUUAUAUUAAUCUAAAAAUCUGUAUACUUUUUGGUGAUGACUCAAAAUAUUAUUUUUGAGUUAUUGAGUAUUUUG